rnacentral:sRNA from 1 species
AAACCGCAAUCGGAUCUUGAAUGCCCAAGUAGUGUUUCCUUGUUAGAAGAUACAAAUCCAAAGACUCAUAUGGACUUCGGCUACACCAUCAAAACUUUGAGAAUCAAGAAGAAGUUCUGUUAGUGUUUUGGAGUCAAAUAUGACUGGAUGUCAUGUUUAUGAUGGCGUGUAAAACUAGAACCACAACGCGAUAUUAAAAGCCUAAGUAGUGUUUC